rnacentral:rRNA from 1 species
AGCGUAGGCGGCAUGGCAAGUCUGAUGUGAAAGACCGGGGCUUAACUCCGGGGUUGCAUUGGAAACUGUCAAGCUAGAGUGUCGGAGAGGUAAGCGGAAUUCCUGGUGUAGUGGUGAAAUGCGUAGAUAUUAGGAGGAACAUCGGUGGCGAAGGCGGCUUACUGGACGAUAACUGACGCUCAGGCUCGAAAGCGUGGGGAGCAAACAGGA